CAUGCCAUUGCACUCUAGCCUGGGCAACAACACGAGCCUGAACUCUCAUUCACUCACUGCUGGUGGGAAUGCAAAAGUGUACAACCACAUUCUCUUACCCUACCAUCAGCAAUUGCGUUCCUUUUUAUUUACCCAAAUAUGUUGAAAACUUAUAUUCACACAAAAGCCUCCAUACAAAUGUUUAUAGCAGCUUUAUGUAUAAUUACCAAAACCUGAAUGCAAUGAAGACCUUCAGUUGAUGAGUGGACAAAUAAACUGUGGUACACCUUGACAAUGGAAUAGUACUCAGUACUAAAAAGAAAUGAUCCACUAAGGCACAUGGAAGAAUCUUAAAUGCAUAUUACCGAGUGAAAGAAGCUGAUCUGAAAAGCCUACAUACUGUAGGAUUCCAACUCUGUGACAUUUUGGAAAAGAAAACUGUGGAGACAGCAAAAGGAUUAGUGAUUGUCGGAAUUGGGGAGAGAUGAAUAGGCAGGAUACAGAUUUUUAGGGCAGUGAAAGUAUUCUGAAUAAUACUAUUAAUAUCAUGGGAGAUACAUGUCAUUAUACGUUUGUCCAAACCCAUGGAAUGUACAACACAGAGUGAACCCUAACGUAAACAAUUGACUUUUGAUGAUAAUGGUAUAUCAGUGUUUGUUCAUCGAUUGUAACAAAUAAUAACACCGUGGUGCAUUAUGUUGAUAGGGAGGUUGUGCAUAUGUGGGGGAGGAUAAUAUAUAGGAAAUAUCUGUACCUUCCUUUUGAUUUUGCUGUGAACCUAAAACUGCUAUAAAAAAAAAUAAAAUAUGGCCAGGCACAGUGGCUCAUGCUUGUAACUCCAGCACUCUGGGAGGCUGAGGCAGGAGAAUCACUUGAGUUUGAGACCAGCCUGAGCAAUAUAUUGGAAGGCCCCCAUCUCUACAAAAAAUUUAAAUAGUAGCUGAUCAUGGUGACAUGCACCUUGAUCAUGUCCUAGCUACUUUGUGGGCAAAGGUGGGAGAUUGCUUGAGCUCAGGAGAUCAAGACUAUAGUGAGCUGUGAUAGCACCACUGCACUCCAGCCUGGGCAACAAAGAGAGAUCUGUCUUAGAAAAAGAAAAAAAAAAAGAAUCUUUUAAAAAAUGCUUCUCAAUAACAAAAAAUAAUGAACAGUAAAAAAUAAUGACCUUUGAAAAAGUAGGAUAGGCUGGAAGGACUUUCCCAAAUAUGGGAAACGUUACCAGAUUUAGCCUUUUAACUAAAUUAGAUUCAUGUUUGGUGAUAGGGAGAAGGUACUUCAUUUCUAAACUGAAAGAAGGUGAGCAAAAGCAUAAACUCUGGUUAAGCAUGACUAGUGCACUUUGGGGAUUCUGUGGGAAAGAAUGGGAGAUUAGAAAUCAUAAUAUUCUUUGAUGAAGAUUAGCACCCACUGGCUAUCUGUAAGAGAGUUGAGUAGCUGACUGUCAUGGAUCAAGGUGUACAACUUCAGCAUGUCUGACCAAGAGGACAUCUGUAUACUCUGCACAUCAGAUGUGGGUGGGUGGUGAGGUUGACUGCCUUUUAUAGGAUUGAGAUGUCCAGAUGGCCAUGAGGGAGUUCUAAUUACCACUGUGAGAGAUGUUGAUAGACCUGUUCAGUCUGGUGCUGAAUUAAUGCCCCCAAAGCUCUGUGCUCACAUUUGAACCAGAAAAAUACUUUGGCCUGUGAAGGGCCUGUAGUGGAGAUGAGAUGGAAGGGAUGCUUGGUAAAGCUGGAUAAGACCAAGGAAAUGAAAAAAUAGUGGGAAGAAAUAGGAAAAAGGAGUGGGGGGGAGUAGGGAGAAGGGAGAAAGAAGAAACAUUUAGGAAGUUCUGCUUUGUUGCUAUAUUCAACUCUGACUUCUAUCAGUUAAUUUGAUGACUGAAGAGCUAAUGUGGUUGACUUUGGAGAGAAUGUUGAGGGGGAGAGGUUGCUAUUUUAUUUGUUCUGCUGGUUCUUGCACGAGUCCAGCUAGGUUUGUGAUGUUGAUGGGGAACAGUUUCCUUGAAGCCAUAAACGAAGCCCAUCCUCUUUUAGGAGAGAAGGAAGAGAGAGCAAAGUUAAUAUAAUUAUUAUCUAACAUCUCUAGGAACCAAAAGCUUUCACCAAGAAUAACUAGUUACCAUCAGUAAUAAUGUUUUACAAUUUUUGUUCAUAAUUGUAUCCAAGAUAGGGUUUGAGUUUCUUUUAAAAGACCACUGAAGGCUUAUAUCUUAUUUUGUUUUUAAUUGUUCAAAACAAACACGUUAGCUCUGUAGAAGUUAAAUAUCACUUUGGAAGAUGUACCAGAGGAAUGGUUGGUUGUUGUUUUUAAAUGGAAUGUAAAGUUGAAUUAGGUGGCUGGGCACAGUGGCUUACACCUGUAAUCCCAGCACUUUGGGAGGCCACAGCCGGCUAAUCACCUGAGGUAGGAAUCCAAGACCAGCCUGGUAAACAUGAUGAAACCCCAUUUGAUCUUCUCUCUUUUUAAUUUUUUUAAUGUCCAUAGCCAUUUUUGGGUGUCGGCAGAGAAAAGGGGAUGCUACUUGGUAACUAGUGUGUAGAGAACAGGGUUGCUGCUAAACAUUCCACAUGAAACCCUAUCUUUACUAAAAAA